rnacentral:rRNA from 1 species
AGAGUUUGAUCCUGGCCUCAGGACGAACGCUGGCGGCGCUGCUUAACACAUGCAAGUCGAGCGGAAAGGCCCUUCGGGGUACUCGAGCGGCGAACGGGUGAGUACCACGUGAGUAACCUGCCCUAGGCUUUGGGAUAACCCUCGGAAACGGGGGCUAAUACCGGAUAUUCAUUCUCGGCGGCAUCGUCGGGUGUGGAAAGUUUUUCGGCCUGGGAUGGGCUCGCGGCCUAUCAGCUUGUUGGUGGGGUGAUGGCCUACCAAGGCGACGACGGGUAGCCGGCCUGAGAGGGCGACCGGCCACACUGGGACUGAGACACGGCCCAGACUCCUACGGGAGGCAGCAGUGGGGAAUAUUGCACAAUGGGCGGAAGCCUGAUGCAGCGACGCCGCGUGAGGGAUGAAGGCCUUCGGGUUGUAAACCUCUUUCGACAGGGACGAAGCGCAAGUGACGGUACCUGGAGAAGAAGCGCCGGCCAACUACGUGCCAGCAGCCGCGGUAAGACGUAGGGCGCGAGCGUUGUCCGGAUUUAUUGGGCGUAAAGAGCUCGUAGGCGGCUUGUUGCGUCAGCUGUGAAAACCCGCAGCUCAACUGUGGGCUUGCAGCUGAUACGGGCAGGCUUGAGUUCGGUAGGGGAGACUGGAAUUCCUGGUGUAGCGGUGAAAUGCGCAGAUAUCAGGAGGAACACCGGUGGCGAAGGCGGGUCUCUGGGCCGAUACUGACGCUGAGGAGCGAAAGCGUGGGGAGCGAACAGGAUUAGAUACCCUGGUAGUCCACGCUGUAAACGUUGGGCGCUAGGUGUGGGGGGCCUCUCCGGUUCUCUGUGCCGCAGCUAACGCAUUAAGCGCCCCGCCUGGGGAGUACGGCCCCAAGGCUAAAACUCA